rnacentral:rRNA from 1 species
CCUACGGGGGGCAGCAGUGGGGGAUAUUGCACAAUGGGGGAAACCCUGAUGCAGCGACGCCGCGUGAGGGAAGACGGCCUUCGGGUUGUAAACCUCUGUCGCAGGGGACGAAGGAAGUGACGGUACCCUGUGAGGAAGCCACGGCUAACUACGUGCCAGCAGCCGCGGUAAUACGUAGGUGGCGAGCGUUGUCCGGAAUUACUGGGUGUAAAGGGAGCGUAGGCGGGAGUGCAAGUUGAAUGUAUAAACUAUCGGCUCAACUGAUAGAAGCGUUCAAAACUGCACUUCUUGAGUGAAGUAGAGGC